rnacentral:rRNA from 1 species
CAGUAGCCGCGGUAAUACAGAGGGUGCGAGCGUUAAUCGGAUUUACUGGGCGUAAAGCGUGCGUAGGCGGCUUCUUAAGUCGGAUGUGAAAUCCCUGAGCUUAACUUAGGAAUUGCAUUCGAUACUGGGAAGCUAGAGUAUGGGAGAGGAUGGUAGAAUUCCAGGUGUAGCGGUGAAAUGCUUAGAGAUCUGGAGGAAUACCGAUGGCGAAGGCAGCCAUCUGGCCUAAUACUGACGCUGAGGUACGAAAGCAUGGGGAGCAAACAGGAUUAGAUACCCGGGUAGUCCCUGUCUCUUAUAC